rnacentral:piRNA from 2 species
UAAUCUCUCAGAGAAGGUGACAGUG